rnacentral:tRNA from 1 species
AUACAAAAGUGUACAGGGCAUAAAAAGUUUUGAUCUUUUAGGAGUUGGUGUAAUUCCAAUAUGUAUAUU